GCGGCGAACGGCAAAGUACCGCGUAGGAAUGUACCCCAAACUGAGGGAUAACUGCCCAAAAGGGUGGCUAAUACCGCAUAUGGUCUUCGGAUUAAAGCUUCGGCGGUUGGGGACCACCCUGCGUAUGAUUAGCUAGUUGGCAAGGUAAGGGCUCACCAAGGCAACAAUCAUUACCUGGUCUGAGAGGAUGAUCACCCUGACGGGAACUGAAACACGGUCCAAACUCCUACGGGAGGCACCAGUAGGGAAUUUUCCACAAGGGGGGCAACCCUGAUGGACCACCGCCGCGGGCAGGAUGAAGGCUUUCGGGCCGAAAACU
rnacentral:rRNA from 1 species